UCAGCACUUGUGUGAUGUCAUUCUAGGAAC
rnacentral:piRNA from 1 species